CGAUGACGAGGUGGAUUGUGGGAAAUAUGAUGUCUGUGUUGACCUCACUAGAUUGGAGGAAGAGGGUUCAUUCCCAAGUGUUUCGCAACUGAGAUCAUGGGCCACAGUUGUUGCACCUGUUGCCAUGUUUAUUGUUGUACCUCACCAUGGGUGGCAAUCAAUGGAGAUGAUUCAAGUGAAGAAACUUGAAUCUCACUCUUCUCUUUUUCCUCCUGCUCCUCUUACUCUUUCUCAUUUUCCUCCAAGUAAAAUGAUUUUAAUUCCUUGAUUUUUAUUUCCCCACAUUAUACUGAAUGUCAAAUAGUUAAAGUUGUGUUUCAUGCUGCAGAUUUGUUGUUUAUUUAUUUCGCUCUUAUGCAAGUUGCCACAUGCAGUUAUUAUUUUGUUAUGAAUUAAAAUUUUGUUCAUUCUUGCGA